GUCUAGCCCCGAUAGCAGCGGCAUCCUUUUGUUUUUUCUUUAAAAACAAAAGAUACAGCGAAUAGCGGGACUAAAU
rnacentral:sRNA from 1 species